rnacentral:rRNA from 1 species
CUAGUUUCGAUGGAGGCGCUGGUGGGAUACUACCCCUGCGUUAUGGCCACUCUAACCCGCACCACUGAUCGUGGUGGGAGACAGUGUCAGAUGGGCAGUUUGACUGGGGCGGUCGCCUCCUAAAAGGUAACGGAGGCGCCCAAAGGUUCCCUCAGAAUGGUUGGAAAUCAUUCGAAGAGUGUAAAGGCAGAAGGGAGCUUGACUGCGAGACCAACAAGUCGAGCAGGGACGAAAGUCGGGCUUAGUGAUCCGGUGGUUCCGCAUGGAAGGGCCAUCGCUCAACGGAUAAAAGCUACCCUGGGGAUAA